rnacentral:RNase_P_RNA from 1 species
GAAGCUGACCAGACAGUCGCCGCUUCGUCGUCGUCCUUUCGGGGAGACGGGCGGAGGGGAGGAAAGUCCGGGCUCCAUAGGGCAGGGUGCCAGGUAACGCCUGGGGGGGAAACCCACGACCAGUGCAACAGAGAGCAAACCGCCGAUGGCCCACGUAAGUGGGAUCAGGUAAGGGUGAAAGGGUGCGGUAAGAGCGCACCGCGCGGCUGGUAACAGUCCGUGGCACGGUAAACUCCACCCGGAGCAAGGCCAAAUAGGGGUUCAUAAGGUACGGCCCGUACUGAACCCGGGUAGUCUGCUUGAGCCAGUGAGCGAUUGCUGGCCUAGAUGAAUGACUGUCCACGACAGAACCCGGCUUAUCGGUCAGUUUCACCU